CGGCGGCCAUUUUGAUGUGUACUAUUGCCAUUGCAAAGAGCUCUGAACGUUGCUGGCUAACUCAUUCUGUUUCUUUGGUCAAUGCACAGUGCUGAGUGCCAUUUUCUUUUGAACUAGUGAAAUGACCACAGCAAACAGUAUAAUCUCAUUCACUUUCAAGUAU